rnacentral:misc_RNA from 1 species
GGAAGCGCUUCGGCGUUACCUGAACGUCAAAACCCACGUCGGACGUGGAGCAUACAACCCGGUUUUCAGGGACCGAGCGGGCCGCCGUCGAGGCGGCCGCAGCGCUCGGCCCCGUCCCACCCCCUCCUCGCGUUGCGAGGAGGUCGCGGGACCAAAGUUUCUAUCGGGCGACGUCGAUGUCGCCCGGUCGAUCUCUGACAACUGAAUAGCACAAGUAAAGCGUCCAAAAGACAUAGCUGUGAGCGCGCGAAGAGAGUUCGGCAGUCGAACUCCGGACGCGAGCUCGAUGCGUGCCCUAGGGGUAC